UACGUAGGGGGCUAGCGUUGUCCGGAAUCAUUGGGCGUAAAGAGCGUGUAGGCGGCCCGGUAAGUCCGCUGUGAAAGUCGGGGGCUCAACCCUCGAAUGCCGGUGGAUACUGUCGGGCUAGAGUGCGGAAGAGGCGAGUGGAAUUCCUGGUGUAGCGGUGAAAUGCGCAGAUAUCAGGAGGAACACCAAUUGCGAAGGCAGCUCGCUGGGACGUAACUGACGCUGAGACGCGAAAAGCGUGGGGGAGCAAAACAGG
rnacentral:rRNA from 1 species